rnacentral:lncRNA from 1 species
UCACUUCUCAUCUUCUUCAUACACUUCGUCAUGUGUUUGUCACUUCUCAUUGUCUUCUCACUUCCUCAUGUGUAUUUUACUUUGUCUCGCAUUUCUCACUUCUCAUUAUCUUCUCAUUUGCCCAUGUGUUUCUCACUUCCUCACAUAUUUCUCAAUUCUCACCGUCUUCUCCCUACCUCAUGCAUUUCUAACAUUUCGUUGUCUUCUUUAUUUACCUUUCUUUCUUUAAUAAUAAUAGUUUUUUCUUCUUAUUUUUUUACUCUUUUUUUUCCUUCUUUUUUUCUCACUCUGUUUUUUCUCUUUUAAAUUAAUUAUAAUUUAUUGGUUUUUUUACUCUUCCUAACUGUAUUUCUCAU